UACGUAGGUGGCAAGCGUUAUCCGGAUUUACUGGGUGUAAAGGACGUGUAGGCGGGGAAGCAAGUCAGAUGUGAAAACCACGGGCUCAACCUGUGGCCUGCAUUUGAAACUGUUUUUCUUGAGUGCUGGAGAGGCAAUCGGAAUUCCGUGUGUAGCGGUGAAAUGCGUAGAUAUACGGAGGAACACCAGUGGCGAAGGCGGAUUGCUGGACAGUAACUGACGCUGAGGCGCGAAAGCGUGGGGAGCAAACAGG
rnacentral:rRNA from 1 species